rnacentral:lncRNA from 1 species
AACAAUAGGCACAUGUAAAAUGUGCACAUGAUCCAGUACCAAAAGCACUUCCCUAGAUCGGCGGUGUAUCCGAUCAUGCUCUCACAACUCACACUUACCGAGGCGUAGAGGAAAAAUGAUCCAUACACUACCAUUCAAAUGAAUGGCACUCAUACUAUUGCACACCGUAUGAGCAACGAAAUAGAAAUAUGAUGCAGAAACCCCCAAGUCAGUACUUAGAUAAGCCACCUAAAGGUCCUUAAUUGGGCAUAAAGGAAAUGACCACUGGCAUACUUAGAUAAAAACUUUUUAGAUCUGAACACACCUUUAUCUAUAAUAGCUAUAAGUUGUCAAAAACUGAUUUUAUAAAACAAAUUUCUUUGUUUUAAAUACACAUAUGACAAGUUUAAUGUUGAACCUUGCUUUGAUACCAGCUGUAACAGAACCGCCCAAUUUACAAGAGAUCAACUAUGAAAAACUCCCGCCAAAGCAGUUGCUUUAACAUAAUCGAACUCUCAUAAACCCGAUAGUCCGUGAAAUCACGAGGGAUUUUAAACCAACCAUCAUACAAGCCAAGAUCGUAGUGGUUCAACAUAACAAGCCAUAUGUUACAUCCAUUUCGCAAGUAGUUUGACAAACUCCAGAGUUCAAUGUAGUUAUUACAACUUGAGAUGAAAAGUAGCGGAAGCAAAGUAAUUUGAAACUAAUAUUGCCCUUAUUUCAAAUACAUGCCAG